rnacentral:lncRNA from 1 species
GGUUUUCUUUCUGCAGAGCUGGGAGCUGGCAGGGGGGGAUUUGUCUCAAAUCGAGCUGUGUGUGCAUUUUGGGUUGCCAGGCAGGUUCUCCCAGAGUGAUCACAGCUCGGGGCAGCUGAGCACAGCUGCAGAGCUGAGCAAACUUUGGGGGAAAUUCCUCUUUUUUUGGGGGGUCAGCAUCUUCUACUCUGCACCAGCAGCCCCCUUGUCUCACUUUAGGUCUCCCAUUAUUGUUCUAAAAGCUCUGAGAUGGUCCCCAGAGGCGAAAAUAGGAAUUGAAGGAAGGAUAAAAUGCUGAUCUGGAGCUGCUCAUGCCCCUCGGGAGGUACACAAACAUCCACUUGGAAUGGGGCCCAUCUGGAUAACAGCAAGAAUUGUUCAGGAGCAAAAUCUGGAGCUGAAAGGAGCUGCCAUGGACUGGGACCUGCAAAAAGUCAUCUGCAGGAUGAGCAGCACCUCAGCAGAGCUGGCUCAGGAGGGAAUCCAUCCUGGGAGAAGUUCUCAAAGGGAUUUUGCUUCGAAAAUCCAAAUAUUCUGGGACACAUCUCCCUUGCUCCACUUUGAAACAGUGAGUCGAAGUUCAAGGGAUGCUUUGUGUGUUUGCUUUGCUUGUGCUGGGCUGUUCCUCCUUUCCACAGCAUUUAACCUACAAAAUGUGAUAUUUACACUAAAAAACGUGAUAUUUUUCCUGACCUAAAUAGCCAGUGUGGCCAAAUGCUUCAGUAAAAUGGGAAGAGACUGACUUGGCUCGGUCUUUAGCAUUAAAUAACUGCGGUUUGGGAAUCUCACUCUCCCAUUUUUCCCUUUUCCCCCCCACUUAUUUCUGAGCUUCUCCUUCCCCUCCUCCUGCCCUGAGGAUCCACAGCCCCUUCAAAGGUACAGAGGGAGGUUUUGACAGAGAUCCCUGAAAAAAUAACCCCUUGAAAAGUGCCAGAAAUGCUGAGCUAAAUGGGAAGAAAAGGGAAGAGCUGGGGCAGAAGCAGCUCAGAACGGAUUCCCCCAGCAGAGAUUGGGGCUGGUCCCUCCCAGCUCUCUGAAUUCAUCGCCUGGGGGAGGGAGAAGGGAAAAAUCCUUGCCUGGUGACAUUUCCUGGCUCUGAUGCCACCUGUGGCCACCCAAAGUUCCUGUUGCCUGUCUGGGAAGUGUCAGGAAAUAUUCCCAGGGGGGUUUGCCAGGCCACAAACCCCAAAAGGAAAAGCUCUGCUGCCCUGAGCAUCCAAAUUAAAAAGUGGAGGGGUACAGAGAUGGGUCCUGAGUGUCCCUCCCUGCUGGGGAAGGUGAAACUUUCCUGUUUCACCUUAUAAAUAUGAUUGCUUAGCAAAAGAUUUUGAAAAUAUGGACACUGUGUGUGAAAUUGAAAUGAAAGCAAGCUUUGAGAUACCAAGCCUUAGCUACUAAACAAUUAGAAAACAAUAGUGUAGCCAGCUAAAAGUAAUCCCCUUUUAAUUAAAAAAACCCCUCUACUUACAGACAAGUCCAAGGGUCAGAGCAGACCCUACUAGCUAAGCAAAAAGUAAAAAAAAAUAGUUUUUAAGGUUUAAAAUAUAAUACAGUAUAGUAAUGUAAUAAUUUUUAUAUGUAAAUACUAUAAAAUGUGUAUCUUACACUAAAUUAGUGAAAAUUAGAAUAUUCAGUGUCACACUGUGACACAAAAUACAGAAGCAGGUUAGAUGUAAAAGGAAAGAAAAAGAACCUAA